GACGAACGCUGGCGGCGUGCUUAACACAUGCAAGUCGAACGGAAAGGCCCUGCUUUUGUGGGGUGCUCGAGUGGCGAACGGGUGAGUAACACGUGAGUAACCUGCCCUUGACUUUGGGAUAACUUCAGGAAACUGGGGCUAAUACCGGAUAGGAGCUCCUGCUGCAUGGUGGGGGUUGGAAAGUUUCGGCGGUUGGGGAUGGACUCGCGGCUUAUCAGCUUGUUGGUGGGGUAGAGGCUUACCAAGGCUUUGACGGGUAGCCGGCCUGAGAGGGUGACCGGCCACAUUGGGACUGAGAUACGGCCCAGACUCCUACGGGAGGCAGCAGUGGGGAAUAUUGCACAAUGGGCGGAAGCCUGAUGCAGCAACGCCGCGUGCGGGAUGACGGCCUUCGGGUUGUAAACCGCUUUCGCCUGUGACGAAGCGUGAGUGACGGUAAUGGGUAAAGAAGCACCGGCUAACUACGU
rnacentral:rRNA from 1 species